UGUUUCAGAAAACCAUCCUGACUCAGAGGAGCACAGAGACUCGAGCCAUCUGUCUCUCAGCAACAUCAGCAGGGAGUCACCUGAGGGAGAAGAGGAUGAGUACUCCCUGGAUGAACGCUACCUGACUCCUUCCUUUGACUAUGAUGUGUCAGAGUGCUGCAGACCUUGCAGCCAUGAUGAGCAGGAGGGCUCCGCUCAGGAUGGAGCGGAACUGGACUCAGAGCCUUUCAUUGGAUGGAAGAACCCUUCCAAGCCAGAGGGUGAUGCUUUUGAGAACCUGGAAAGCAGCAAGGCAGAGGGUCUAGUCAGUCAUCUACCUCUGGCCUCAGGUGUCCAGAGACAGAACAAUACCACAAGAAGGCAUCUGUUUGGCAAACGCAAAAUUGCAUGUCGCUUCCCUGGCCUGCAGAAGUAGGACACAGAGGUAAUCCUUGGUGGCUUUGGAAUGCACUUCCUCCAACUCAGACUCAUACUGCUUGA